ACGGAGGGUGCAAGCGUUAAUCGGAAUCACUGGGCGUAAAGCGCACGUAGGCGGUCUGGUGUGUCAGGUGUGAAAUCCCCCGGCUUAACCGUGGAAUUGCACUUGAAACUACCGGACUUGAGUAUCGGAGAGGGUGGCGGAAUUCCAGGUGUAGGAGUGAAAUCCGUAGAUAUCUGGAGGAACACCAGUGGCGAAGGCGGCCACCUGGACGACUACUGACGCUGAGGUGCGAAAGCGUGGGGAGCAAACAG
rnacentral:rRNA from 1 species